CAGUAGCCACGGGAAUACGAAGGGGGCUAGCGUUGUUCGGAAUCACUGGGCGUAAAGGGUGCGUAGGCGGGAUCUUAAGUCAGGGGUGAAAUCCCGAGGCUCAACCUCGGAACUGCCUUUGAUACUGGGGUCCUUGAGUCCGGAAGAGGUGAGUGGAACUGCGAGUGUAGAGGUGAAAUUCGUAGAUAUUCGCAAGAACACCGGUGGCGAAGGCGGCUCACUGGUCCGGAACUGACGCUGAGGCACGACAGCGUGGGGAGCAAACAGGAUUAGAUACCCCAGUAGUCCCUGUCUCUUAUAC
rnacentral:rRNA from 1 species